rnacentral:rRNA from 1 species
CCUACGGGUGGCAGCAGUGAGGAAUAUUGGUCAAUGGACGCAAGUCUGAACCAGCCAUGCCGCGUGCAGGAAGACGGCUCUAUGAGUUGUAAACUGCUUUUGUACGAGGGUAAACGCAGAUACGCGUAUCUGUCUGAAAGUAUCGUACGAAUAAGGAUCGGCUAACUUCGUGCCAGCAGCCGCGGUAAUACGGAGGAUUCAAGCGUUAUCCGGAUUUAUUGGGUUUAAAGGGUGCGUAGGCGGUCGGAUAAGUUAGAGGUGAAAGCCCGAGGCUCAACUUCGGAAUUGCAUCUGAUACUGUUCGGCUAGAGAGUAGUUGCGGUAGGCGGAAUGUAUGGUGUAGCGGUGAAAUGCUUAGAGAUCAUACAGAACACCGAUUGCGAAGGCAGCUUACCAAGCUACUUCUGACGUUGAGGCACGAAAGCGUGGGGAGCAAACAGGAUUAGAUACCCUUGUAGUC